rnacentral:rRNA from 1 species
UACGGGGGGGGGCAAGCGUUGUUCGGAAUUACUGGGCGUAAAGGGCGCGUAGGCUGCUCGUUAAGUCGGGGUGUGAAAAACUCUGGGCUCAACCCAGAGCCUGCAUUCGAAACUGACGAGCUAGAGUUCUGGAGGGGAAAGCGGAAUUCCUGGUGUAGCGGUGAAAUGCGUAGAUAUCAGGAGGAACACCGGUGCGAAGGCGGCUUUCUGGACAGAAACUGACGCUGAGGCGCGAAAGCUAGGGGAGCAAACAGG